rnacentral:rRNA from 1 species
UACGAAGGGGGCUAGCGUUGCUCGGAAUCACUGGGCGUAAAGCGCACGUAGGCGGCUUGUUAAGUCCGGGGUGAAAUCCUGGAGCUCAACUCCAGAACUGCCUUUGAUACUGGCGAUCUUGAGUCCGGGAGAGGUGAGUGGAACUGCGAGUGUAGAGGUGAAAUUCGUAGAUAUUCGCAAGAACACCAGUGGCGAAGGCGGCUCACUGGCCCGGUACUGACGCUGAGGUGCGAAAGCGUGGGGAGCAAACAGG